rnacentral:lncRNA from 1 species
GGCCUCGCCGCACAAUUUUCACUAUUUUUUUUAGCCGUUUUCUGGCGGAAUAUGAACUUAUUUAUCACACACAAAUAAGGUCAAGUCUAAAUCGGGUCCAUGUUGAUGUUUUUCAUAGAAAAUUGUUACAGUAGAAGUGAAAAAACGGCAACCGUACCGUAGCUAACGUUAGCUGGCGUUAGCAUGUAGCAUGAUGAGCAUCAGGUUUUCGUUAUUUAUGUAAUUAUGGGCUGUUGAACCACUUUGCCCCGCUCCAUGUCUUUGUAUCUUUAUAAUUCAGCAUUUGUUUUGCAGUAGUUUUGGAGAAAUUAUAGAAAGUUUAGAUUUUAGUCCUCUUUGUUUUCCCCCUCAACUGCUUCAAACAUGACCAUCUAUCAUAUGGGCGAUUCCUGACAAAAAGAGACAAAAGAAAAGGGGACACACCGGAAGAGGCUCCUUCAGAGACGCACGCACGGCACACCGGUCUGGACAGCACUCCGCUCCAGCGACAGACCCACCCACCGCCACCCCGGGCUCCGGUUCCUUUCCCCUGGGCCCGUACGAGUGGACCCGACUCCCGCAGUCCCGUGCCGGCUCUUGGGAUGGCCACGUACGACGCGUUCCGGGCGCAGCUGGCCUCCAUCAUGGCGGCCGUGGCGGAGAUGUGCGAGCUGCUGGACGACAGCUACGCCGCGCUGCAGCUGGAACUCAGCCGCAGCCACCGGGAGAACGAGACGCUGAGGAGCAAGCUGAGGCUGCUGGAGAGCACGGCGGCCCGGGGGGGAGGAGGGCACCGCCGUGGGGAAGUGCUGGUGUUCGGCGGCAGAGAGGAGGACUGUGGCGGGGCGCGGAUGGACCUCAUCAUCGAGCACGUUCCAUCGCCAGGCCGUGGAGGCAAAGUGAAGAAGGUCUGUCGAAGCGUUUCCCCUCCACAGCCCCCCCGCGAGCCCAGCCCCAGAGCAGCACAGAGCAUCCACGUCAGGCUGGACCUGUCCACUUCAGCAGAAGCAGACACCGCAGAGGUGAUGCUGAUAAAGGAAGAGGACACAGAGGACGACGGUCCAACGGCUCCAGACAAACUGCUCAUCUGCAAAACCGGUGAGGAAUACUCAUUUCCAUCACUCAAAACACUUCCUUCCUUUUGUUGACUACAUUUAAGAAUCAGAAUUAAACUUUUCCUAAUUUUGGCAAUGAAAGGUCGUUUUUGGGAGUGAAAAAAAAUCCUUCUGCAUUGAUGACCAUGGAGCACCGGAUGUGACGUAAAUAGAGGUUAACAAUCGUUAACAGUCACUGUAAAGUCAUUUGUCCAAAUAAACUGAAAACGGUCUUUUUCCCACAAACAUAUGACGAACCACAACAAUGUCUAUGAACUAGGGACAAAAUGUGACAGACUUUGAAACAAGGGUGAUGUGAAAUGCUGAGCAGUGAUGAGAAAAAGGUGUUUCGAAUGUGUGUAGAAUGAAUGGAUUACAGAGCUGGUAACAAGGUGAAGCUAGUGUGGCUAAUGCUAGUUUGCCUGUCUGUGCCUUACAGAUUCAUUCAGGAUUAGUUUAUGUCGCACCAUCUAAAAGUCGUGUUUCACAUUAACGGGAGAGCGAUCGGCUCAAGGUGGAGAUGCAAAGUCACAGUCAGCUGAUGAGUACAACCUUGGCGUGAUGCUAAAACCAAUAAAGUGUUCUGCAAUUUAGAUCAAAGCAAAUAUAGUAUAUUUAAUGGGGGACUUUUUUUGUUUUGAAAUGGCCUUUAAGUC